rnacentral:rRNA from 1 species
GAUGGAGGAUGCAAGCGUUAUCCGGAAUCACUGGGCGUAAAGCGUCUGUAGGUGGUCAAAUAAGUCAACUGUUAAAUCUUGAGGCUCAACCUCAAAAUCGCAGUCGAAACUAUUAGACUAGAGUAUAGUAGGGGUAAAGGGAAUUUCUAGUGGAGCGGUGAGAUGCGUAGAGAUUGGAAAGAACACCGAUGGCGAAGGCACUUUACUGGGCUAUUACUAACACUGAGAGACGAAAGCUAGGGUAGCAAAUGGG